AGUGAACGCUGGCGGUAGGCCUAACACAUGCAAGUCGAACGGCAGCACAGUAAGAGCUUGCUCUUACGGGUGGCGAGUGGCGGACGGGUGAGGAAUACAUCGGAACCUACUUUUUCGUGGGGGAUAACGUAGGGAAACUUACGCUAAUACCGCAUACGACCUACGGGUGAAAGCAGGGGAUCUUCGGACCUUGCGCGAUUGAAUGAGCCGAUGUCGGAUUAGCUAGUUGGCGGGGUAAAGGCCCACCAAGGCGACGAUCCGUAGCUGGUCUGAGAGGAUGAUCAGCCACACUGGAACUGAGACACGGUCCAGACUCCUACGGGAGGCAGCAGUGGGGAAUAUUGGACAAUGGGCGCAAGCCUGAUCCAGCCAGACCGCGUGGGUGAAGAAGGCCUUCGGGUUGUAAAGCCCUUUUGUUGGGAAAGAAAAGCAGCAGGUUAAUACCCCGCUGUUCUGACGGUACCCAAAGAAUAAGCACCGGCUAACUUCGUG
rnacentral:rRNA from 1 species